rnacentral:siRNA from 1 species
UUCAGCCAUAUUUUGAUUGUUUAU